rnacentral:lncRNA from 1 species
GAAUUUAAGUGCAAGAAUCAAUUGUCAUAUCAAUGUGUGAUCAAUUACAAUAGGAGUAUUGUUUUCUAUCGUCUUGGUUCUUGCCCUAGCUAGAUACAUCCUUAAGACAAUAUCUUAGAAAUAUAGAAUCUUGAUUCAAUUCAUAAUACCAACACCUAUUAUAAUUAUAAUUGACAUCUAUCUUACAUCUGGAAUGGUAGUAUAGCUGCUUUCAUAAUAAUCUCUUUCAAGCCAAAGGAAAAGUCCCGAUUAAAAGAAUAAAGAAGCAC